rnacentral:rRNA from 1 species
AAAUUGAAGAGUUUGAUCAUGGCUCAGAUUGAACGCUGGCGGCAGGCCUAACACAUGCAAGUCGAACGGUAACAGGAAGCAGCUUGCUGAUUCGCUGACGAGUGGCGGACGGGUGAGUAAUGUCUGGGAAACUGCCUGAUGGAGGGGGAUAACUACUGGAAACGGUAGCUAAUACCGCAUAAUGUCGCAAGACCAAAGAGGGGGACCUUCGGGCCUCUUGCCAUCGGAUGUGCCCAGAUGGGAUUAGCUAGUAGGUGGGGUAACGGCUCACCUAGGCGACGAUCCCUAGCUGGUCUGAGAGGAUGACCAGCCACACUGGAACUGAGACACGGUCCAGACUCCUACGGGAGGCAGCAGUGGGGAAUAUUGCACAAUG